rnacentral:ncRNA from 1 species
UAAAGUUUUAUGACGGAGAGCAUAUUUUAACAGAAAUAGUUUCAGAGAGUCGGUGGUUGCUGUGAACCGAUAACUAUUAUUAAAAUAUUACUCACUCCUGAAAAGUAUCUCUGAAAUAUAAAAAAGUAGGAGAUAACGUAGAAGCCACGUUAUCGGCGAAGGGUUUGAUAGAACCUAAGAAAGAGGCUUUUUUUUUAUACAAAAAAAGCAAUCAAAGGUGGUACCACGGGAAUUAUUCUCGUCCUUAAG